UUGUAGACAUCGAAAUUUCGGUAAAUAAAUGUUGACUGAUAAAUCAAAGUGUCAACGCUCAUGUAUUACAUAAAUUUUACACGUAACGUGUGACUCAACGAAAAUUGAAAUGAGUUGGAAAAGUCAUCAAAUAGGACACGUGUCAACACCUGGCAGAAAUGACUUAUUUCAUCUGGGAUAUUAUAUUCAAAAUUAGGCUUUGGAAAAUUCUAUAAAUACAAGCCCAUUUCAUUCAUUUGGGGAACCAAUUCAUAUUACACCUUGAAGCUCUGAAGCUCUGAAACUCCGAAGCUCUCAAGCAUCCAGGUUCCCGAAGAAUCAAGAAACUGUUCUUCGUUCUUCGUUCAUCGUUCUUCCAAGAUCAAGCCUCGACGGCCCUUGGAUCAACAAUCAUCCACCAAUUCAAGAUCAAGCCCCGACGGCCCUUGAAGAAAGUGUUCUUCGUUCUUCGUUCUUCCAAGAUCAAGCCCCGACGGCCCUUGGAUCAACCAUCCACCAAUUCAAGAUCAAGCCCCGACGGCCCUUGAAGAAAGCACCAUCGUUCAUCAUCCGUUCAUCCAAGAUCAAGCCCCAACGGCCCUUUGGAUCAACAACGUCGACAAAUCCACGCAUCCAACCGUUCUUCAAGAUCAAGCCCAAAAGCCCUUGAAGAUCCGUUCAUCACUGUUCUUCAAGAUCAAGCCCAAAAGCCCUUGGAGAUCCGUUCAUCACUGUUCUUCAAAGAUCAAGCCCAAAAGCCCCUUUGAAGAUCCACUCAAAUCCACCUUCAAGAUCAAGUCCACGGCCCUUGAAGAACGUUCAUCCUUAGAUCAAGCCCAACGGCCCUUUGGAUCAAUCCACAAAUACACACCUUACGGAGAUCGAAUCAGAGGAUCAAAAUAGAGAGAGAUUGUAACCCAAAAUCAUCAAAUACAAAUAUUUGUUUGUGCACGUUGUUCUUGUCUCUUUCGUUUCAGGAAUUUUCCGUGUUCACAAAAGUAAAUGAAGAAAUGAUUACUAUCUAAGUUAGAGCUGUUAGAGCUUAUUUAAAUUGAAAUUCUCGGAUACACCUCUUUCAAAUCUAGAGCUGUUUUAAAAACAUUUUUAAAAUGAUUGAAAAUUUUUGAGUUCUAAAAGCACUUGCAUUUAGGAAAUUAUGUGUUACUUGCAUGAAAUAUUUCAAAUGAUUUUUAUGAUUCAGUUACAUUUUGUUAUAAAAGUAUUGUCAGUCAAUUUAAAAGCAAUUCUAAACACAAUUUAUGUACAUUUUUCUUUGGGUAAAUUACAUAGUAGCCCCUCAGGUUUGAGGUUUAUUGCAAUCUUAUACAACAUCUUUAAAACAUUUCACUUUCAUACCUCAAGUACUAUUU
rnacentral:lncRNA from 1 species